AUUGAACGCUGGCGGCAGGCCUAACACAUGCAAGUAGAGCGGAGCGGCGGACGGGUGAGUAAUGCCUAGGAAUCUGCCUGGUAGUGGGGGAUAACGUCCGGAAACGGGAGCUAAUACCGCAUACUAUCAGAUGAGCCUAGGUCGGAUUAGCUAGUGGGUGGGGUAAAGGCCUACCAAGGCGACGAUCCGUAAAUGGUCUGAGAGGAUGAUCAGUCACACUGGAACUGAGACACGUUCCAGACUCCUACGGGAGGCAGCAGUGGGGAAUAUUGGACAAUGGGCGAAAGCCUGAUCCAGCCAUGCCGCGUGUGUGAAGAAGGUCUUCGGAUUGUAAAGCACUUUAAGUUGGGAGGCGUUACCGACAGAAGAAGCACCGGCUAACUCCGUGCCAGCAGCCGCGGUAAUUC
rnacentral:rRNA from 1 species